rnacentral:rRNA from 1 species
UAGGGAAUCUCCACAAUGGACGCAAGUCUGAUGGAGCAACGCCGCGUGAGUGAAGAAGGUCUUCGGAUCGUAAAACUCUGUUGUUAGAGAAGAACACGAGUGAGAGUAACUGUUCAUUCGAUGACGGUAUCUAACCAGCAAGUCACGGCUAACUACGUGCCAG